GAUUCUGGCUCAGAACGAACGCUGGUGGCGUGCUUAUACAUGCAAGUCGAGCGAGGCAGCAAUGCCGAGCGGCGAACGGGUGAGUAACGCGUAAGCAAUCUGCCCCAUAUCAGGAAAUACCCGUGCCAACGCGCGGUUAAUGUCCAGGAGAGUGGCCUUCCGCAUGGAAGGUUGACUAGAGAUUUAUCGGUAUGGGAUGAGCUUGCGUCCGAUUAGCUAGUUGGCGGGGCAACGGCCCACCAAGGCGACGAUCGGUAGCCGGCCUGAGAGGGUGAUCGGCCACAUUGGGACUGAGAUACGGCCCAGACUCCUACGGGAGGCAGCAGUAGGGAAUAUUGCACAAUGGGGGAAACCCUGAUGCAGCAACGCCACGUGUUGGGAAGAAGCAUUUCGGUGUGUAAACCACUGUCAUGAGGGAAUAAGGCCCGCCUUCCGGACGGACCUUGAAUGUACCUUGAGAGGAAGCACCGGCAAACUUCGUGCCAGCAGCGGC
rnacentral:rRNA from 1 species